GUUUACCAGAACAUAACACUAUCGUAAGUGGGGACGCAUUGCACUUACCUGCAUAGCUAUCCUCUUCAAUGAUGCAUGUUUCUGGACCUCAGCAAUGUCACCAACUGCCAAGCCAAUCUGAAGUAUGACACAAAAUUAAAUCACUACAGUUGAACGGUCCACCUAAAAAUGCAUGUAAGAAACACUGCCUAGUACAGCCUCUGGUACAUAGUCAGACUCAGAGAAAGUGUGUGGAAUAUGUGCAUGUGUGCAUAAAUGGAUAAAGGAAAAACAGGCACAACGAUGCCAAUAAGGGCUCCCCAUGGACCUGGAAUGGGAUGCACCUUUGCCUGCAUCAGCCAACGUGCUCAUGCCUUGAGCAGAUUCUGUAGAGAAUUCCAUGUGGAAGGGCACUCUAAUGUCUGCUGAUAGUGUCUAGGCUUUGACUGGGUUCAAGGUGGCAUCUGAACGUCGCAGAUGCCCUCUGCAUGAGAGACUUCCCCACUUGAAUCUCUGGUCAAUGACUUCAAAUCAUCCCAACACCAGAGAACACUAAAUGACAGUGGACAGGAAGACAGUGUACCUUUUGCUCCUGAUGAUCGUAAGAACAACCUCCUUCCUCUUAUUGUGAAGUGCAAGGUGCAAAAAGGAGGCCUGCUGCUUGUUCAGGACUAUGUCAGCGUUGUGGCUCAGAAGAAGCGCAACGGCCUUGGCGUGGCCUUCCCUUGCAGCAAAGUGAAGUGCAGUGUUCUUUUGAAGAAAAACAGACACAGAAAAUGUGGUGACAGUGUCUAAUCUGUCUUAUUUCACUGCUUAACUGCUUAAAAGACAUUAGAGACACUAUUUAAUACCAAAAUACAUAGCACUUAAAACUGGUGUUCAGAAUCAAGCUUCAAAAUAAUGAGUUUAUAGUUCUAGCAUGGUGUGUGUGCAUGUGUGGGAAGUGGAUCUGUGUGUGUGUGUGUGUGUCUGUGUGUGUGUGUGUGUGUUAGAGAAAGAGAGAGAGAGAGAGAGAGAAUGAAUUCCAAGGCAUUUGUUUUGUGUUGCUUUUGCAAUGGGAUGAUUCCACAAGGGCAAAGGACAAGCUUUCAGGGUAAAGGUGUUGGGUUGAACACAGAAGAAAAUCCUCCUGAGAUUGAUCAUUUGUAGAACAGUGGCUUACAGAUUUGGGGCUUCACAAGCUUGUAAAUGUUUUUUAAAAUCAGAGACUGUUAUAAGUUUGCCCAUUUUUAGUUUCCCCACUUAAAGACUUUUUUUUUUUUUUGAAAAAGGCAACAACAGUCUUCUAUCCCCAUCAUUUUAUGAACAAACGUACAUUUCAAAAGUUACUCUCCCCAAAGGAAGGAAAGACAUAAUAGCACAAUAAAGGGCAGUAUUUCAAAUCAAUACACUUCAAAAUAACAGUUAUCUUAAUGAAAACUCACCCCUGCCUUCACUUCUCUGGACCUACCAGGGAGUAAACGCUUUACCAUCAAAUUUCAUUGGCCUGUGGACCUCGCUGCUCUGUGAGACUGGAGGCUUCCCCAACAUUCACCCACCGCUUGGUAUUCUCCCAAUUCUGUUGCCUUUUGAUUCAUACUUCACCUCAAGAAUCCACUUGCUAAACACCCAACAAAAGGCUGGGAAUAGAGCAAGGAACGUAAAAGGUGUCUAGGAGAGUUUUCUGGCAAUGUUGGAAGUUUCUGCUAUAUCGAGAUUUUGGGUAAGCAUGAGGACCACAGUACAUACCCCGUCUUCAUCCAGGCGAUCUGUGCACUUCAAAUUAGUAUCAAGAAUGACCUUCAUGGUCUGAGUGUACCCGCCCAUGGACGCAUGAUGCAAAGCUGUCCAGCCAUUGUGGUCACUGGUAAAGAGUUAAGAAAAGAUGUGUGCAUACACUUAACAGAUGAAAUGCGGGAUGGGAUGCCACUUGGCUUAUUCUAGGUAAAUCUGAUGACCACAAAAAGCAUAAUUGAGAUCUAGCAACUAAAUAUUUAUAAAACAUUUAUAAUAAAUGAGCUAAUUCCAAGCUCAAUGAUCUUAAAUGACCUAUUUCUAAUGUGAUUCACACAUGUUUUUUACUUAGUGGUUUAAAAUAUGAAAGUAUAUAAACACAUUACCAAACACUUUGGGGUAGGAGAAGUACGCUUAGCAUGUCUGUGUCAUACAUAAUUUUUUUAAAGCUAUAAUGAACUGAUACACAUCAAUUUAAAUCUUGUUUUAUUCUUUCAAUGAACACUGUAUCAAAAUUUUUUUAUGAAGUAAUGUUAGUCUUUGUGGUUAAUAGUUAUUGAUAAUACUACUAAUAAUAUAGUACAUGGCUAUUAGAUACUUAGCUUAGUGUCAGUUAUUAUUCUAAGAGUUUAAAUCUGAAAAGCUUCCCUCUUGUGCUCUGAAAAAUGCUUACUCAAUUGCUUUGAAAAAUGUUUAUCCUUUUCCACAGAAAUUCAAGAUGUAAAUACAACAAAGCCUUGUCAUAUUCGUUAUCUUUUUUCAAAUUAGACAGAAAAAAAUUCGUGACACUAUUUAAUUUCAGUGCUAGUGAGCAGAUGUUUUAGGGUGCAAGAGCCAUGUUGCUAUUUCAGUUUUGAUGUAAUUAAGCAACAACGGUCUGGCCUGGGUCUACGUGGGUCCCCUUUGCAGGUCAGUUGCUUGGUGUUUCUUUGUAAACCAGAAAAAAACUGAGCAAAACAUUCAUUCAUGUAGCUGUAGCACCAAUUUGCUGGCAUCAAUAUUAUGGUAAGGAAAUGUGUUUUUGAACAUUAGCCUAAUAAGCUCUUUGCUACUGCUAUGGUAAGAUAUCAAAUGAAAAACCUCUGUAAAACAUUUCCAGGUUUCUUCUUUCUUAUCACAAUAUCAUUUAAUUAUGCCACAUGUUUGAUUAUACUUACAUAUUUUAACUUUGUUUCUUGUACUUGAGUUCAUUUAAGUAUAAUAAAAUUCAGAAAUUUUUACCAUC